UAAUGUCCUCAUAUCUUAAGUUAUAAUUUUAGAGAGAUGUAAAAAGACUUGACGGAUAUCUUAUUCAACCCGCUGAGAUGAGAAGAAAAUGAGAGGAAACGCCGCUUCCGUACUUAUUUGUGUGCUUAUGAUGGCACAGAACACACAGAACUGAAGUCUGAGAGGAAGACAAAACAACUGGUUUAAUGCUGUUUUUACUACACUUUUACUAUAAUAAAACAAAUUACAAUUACAUUAUAAAAUGUCAAAAUUUAGAAGAGAGAAAGUGAAAAGCCACUCAACAGAUGUUGGUGAUGUCAGAGAGUCACCUCAGUCACCACAGUCUCCACUAACCACACUCACCAGAUCCCAAUCCCCGGAUUACUAAUCACCGCCACCUGUCAACACUCAUCAACAGCACUAUAUCCCUGCACUCCUCCCGUUCACUCACUGUCUGGUCUCAAACUUACAGUGUUUGACUUACCUGACCCACUUACCUGUUUUGUCUACUUACCAGUUGCUUCUGUGUUCCUCUCCCUGCUCUCCACCGCUUCAGUUCUCCACCGUCUCCACGCUCCGCUGUUCCAUUGGGAUCCCCUGGAAUAAAGAUAAGGACGAUCACCCUCAGAUAAACUCCCCGCCUGCUUAACUGGACCUUCAGCUGAUCUCAGUCCCCCUCUGCACUUGUCAAUAAACCUGUUCACGAUAUUGCACUUACCUCUGUGUCCUGUGUCUAUCUGCUGACAGGAAAAUGCACUGGUAACAACUAAAAUAAAGAAGACCAAAAAUAUAAUUUAACAGAAGAUGAUGGCUGUGGUGAAACAAGCACUCAAAUAAUGGAACUAAGACCUGUGGGAGUGCUGGAGAAAUCAAGUGUACCAAGUACCAUCUCCUCAGCCAUGUAAGAGAUCUUCAGACAUGAAGAGAUUGAGGAGUUAAAUGAAGUCAAAGAGCUAAAAGAAGAUCUACAAUAUUGGUGCUAAUUCAGCAUGAAAACAGAGAGAGAGCUGAGGGAGUGGAAAGAAAUGCAUGUUAUUGUGCAAAGGGUAGUUGCAUGGAUCAGUGGAGGGACAGAAAGCUCUGAGAUUUCAUUAUAAAGAUCUGCAUUUGUGUUCUGAAGAUGAACAAAAGACUUGCGGGUUUGGAAUGUCAUGAGGACUACAUCAAAAAUUGUGUUUCCACAUCUGAGAUGAAGGCAGUCAUAAGAACCAAGCAGAACAAUGAGGAUAAGCUCUUCAAAAAAUUAAACCUGCCUGAAUAAUGCAGGAAGAAAUGUGCAUGAUUGCGUGAUUUGUAAAUAAACACUAAGUAAAUUUAGUGUAACUCUCAGCCUGUUAUUUUAAGUUUAAAGAAAAGUGAAAUUAUUUAUUGUUGCAUUGCUGUUUGAGACAUUCACUGUUGUUUUGUACCUUAAUUUAUUAUAUUUCAGUU